UACGGAGGGAUCUAGCGUUAUUCGGAAUUACUGGGCGUAAAGCGAGCGUAGGCUGAUUUGUAAGUUGGAUGUGAAAUCCCAGAGCUUAACUCUGGAACUGCAUCCAAAACUACAUUUCUUGAGUUUGGUAGAGGAGAGUGGAAUUCCUAGUGUAGAGGUGAAAUUCGUAGAUAUUAGGAGGAACACCAGUGGCGAAGGCGACUCUCUGGGCCAAUACUGACGCUGAGGUUCGAAAGCGUGGGUAGCGAACAGG
rnacentral:rRNA from 1 species